AGAAAUGCCAAGAAGAGGACAAUACUUGUCUGUACGACUUUUUAGAGAGAGAAGCCCUGGCUGAAAGCUUCUUAAGUACGACACUCAAUUUACCACCUCGGAGCAGCAACAGUGAAAUCUUAGUAACUGUUGACGGUAACGGCCCGUUAGCCGGCUCAAAGCUUCAUCUUUUUAGUCCUGGACUGAAGAGAAGGAAGAAGGGUGGAACCACGAACUCAAACCUCGUCCCUUUC
rnacentral:ncRNA from 1 species